GGAGAGAUGGCCGAGUGGUUUAAGGCGCCGGUCUUGAAAACCGGUGAUGUCGCAAGGCACCGGGGGUUCGAAUCCCUCUCUCUCCGCCA
rnacentral:tRNA from 1 species